ensembl:lncRNA
AAUGGGAGCAGCAGCAGAUGGACGAGAAGGAGGCCACGACCCUCAGAGCUGCAGUCUAGUAACCAUCUGUUCCUCUUGACAGACUGUUGGUCAUAUUCUACAAUGUGGUUGAUAGCAGAGUUGCACCUACAGCCAGUAUCUUCUCACAGGACAUUUAAUUGCUCAAAUGAUGAAAACCGUAGGCUUUGAUGUGGUGAAGUAUCUGUACGACUUCCUGUGAUCCUCUUGCAGUGGACAUGAACCAGGCAUCUAAGUGAACAAAAUCACAUCACUUGGAAUUAUGGAUGUGAAUGGACUGCCGGAUAAAUUAUGUUACAGGAAAUUC